AGAGUUUGAUCCUGGCUCAGGACAAACGCUGGCGGCGUGCCUAACACAUGCAAGUCGAACGGACACUUGCUUUCGGGCGGGUGUGAGUGGCGGACGGGUGAGUAACACGUGGAUGACGUAUCCUCGUGUGGGGGAUAACCUUCAGAAAUGAGGGAUAAUACCGCAUACGAUCACUGGAGUAGGCUCUGGUGAAGAAAGCUGCCUGGCAACGGGUGGCGCAGGAGGAGCGGUCUGCGACCGAUUAGCUAGUUGGUGGGGUAAGAGCCUACCAAGGCGACGAUCGGUAGCUGGUCUGAGAGGAUGAUCAGCCACACUGGGAUUGAGAACGGCCCAGACUCCUACGGGGGGCAGCAGUGAGGGAUCUUCGUCAAUGGGGGAAACCCUGAACGAGCAACGCCGCGUGUGGGAAGACGGCCUUCGGGUUGUAAACCACUUUUCUUGGGGACGAGACAGGACGGUACCCGAGGAAGAAGUCUCGGCUAACUACGUGCCAGCAGCCGCGGUAAUACGUAGGAGACGAGCGUUGUCCGGAGUUACUGGGCGUAAGGCGCACGCAGGCGGUCUUUCGCGUUCGUGCCGACAGCGACUCGCCUAACGAGUCGAGGAGUACGGAAACGGGAAGACUUGAGGGCCAGAGAGGGACACGGAACUCCGGGUGGAGUGGUGAAAUGCGUAGAGAUCCGGAAGAACACCAAAGGCGAAGGCAGUGUCCUGGUUGGUACCUGACGCUCAGAGGCGAUAGCUAGGGGAGCGAACGGGAUUAGAUACCCCGGUAGUCCUAGCCGUAAACGAUGACCACGAGAUGUCCGGGGGAUCGACCCCCUGGGUGUCGAAGCAAACGCAGUCAGUGGUCCGCCUGGGGAGUACGGUCGCAAGAUUAAAACUCAAAGGAAUUGACGG
rnacentral:rRNA from 1 species